rnacentral:rRNA from 1 species
AAGUGGAGCAAUCCAUGAGUAAAGUGGCGACCGGGUGAGUAACACGUGACCAAUCUACCUUCGAGUGGGGGAUAACUCCGGGAAACCGGGGCUAAUACCGCAUAAUAUCUUCGGAACGGAAGUUCUGUUGAUCAAAGGAGCAAUUCGCUUGAGGAGGAGGUCGCGGCUGAUUAGCUAGUUGGCGGGGUAAUGGCCCACCAAGGCGAUGAUCGGUAGCCGGCCUGAGAGGGCGCACGGCCACACUGGAACUGAAACACGGUCCAGACUCCUACGGGAGGCAGCAGUGGGGAAUUUUGCGCAAUGGGGGAAACCCUGACGCAGCAACGCCGCGUGGAGGAUGAAAUCCCUUGGG